rnacentral:rRNA from 1 species
GAUGAACGCUGGCGGCGUGCCUAAUACAUGCAAGUCGAGCGAACAGACGGGGAGCUUGGCCCUCUCCCGUUAGCGGCGGACGGGAGAGUAACACGUGGUUAACCUACCUAUAAGACUGGGAUAACUUCGGGACACCGGAGCCAAUACCCGAUAAUAUAUUCAACCGCACGGUUCAAUAGCAAAAGACGCUUCUGCUGUCACUUGUAGCUUAUUCCCCUCCUCAUUAGCUAGUUGGUGAGGUAACGGCGUACCAGGCCAACGAUUCGUAGCCGUCCUGACAGCGUGAACGGCGACACUGGAACUGAGACACGGUCCAGACUGCUACGGGAGUCAGCAGUAGGGAAUCUGACGCAAUGGGAGACAGCCUGACGGAGCAAUGCCGCGCGAGUUCUGAAGGUCUUCGGGUCGUAAAACUCAGUUAUUGGGGAGGGGCAAAUGCGUAAGUAACUAUGCACGUCCUGACGGUACCUAAACAAGAAGCCACGGCUAACUACGUG